AAGACUAUACUUUCAGGGAUCAUUUCUAUAGUUCAUUACUAAGACAAGCCCCUCAACCCACACCUGCAGG
rnacentral:snoRNA from 1 species